ACGAAGGUAACAUAGACACAACCAUGCCAUCACACCCUGUGGGUAACUGCAGAUUCAACACUCUGACAGAGUGAGAUUGCUGACACACAAUUUUGGAGCUGCUAAGUAACAGUUUGUGUGCUCAUUAGAAUAUUCAUUAAAACGGUAACGCAAGAGAUAUCACAAAAAUCUCCUGCUAACCUUUCACCCCCUGAUCUGGUCACCUGUCCCCAUACACUAGUAUGGGGAGAAAAAAAUGUAUCAAAUGCCAUCUGAAUGUUCCCUUCGGAGCUUAACUGCAUGAACAUCCAGAUGGUGUUUAUUCCCGCACACUGCUCCAUAUGGGAAGGAAUACCCGGUUGCAAAGAGGGAUCCGUCCGCCACUGCCCGGUGAAAAGAUUUGCAGGAAAAACUGAUUUGCGGAUCUGCUGUCUUCACGCUGGAGUGGACCCUCCUCCUGAGAAUUAAAAAAAUGUCCAUCGAGAGCGGUGAAUUUCUCUCAGGCUUCAUCAGCCUCUACCGUGAUGAAGAGUGCUUGUGGCUGACCUCAUCACCAGAGUAUUCCAACAAACAGAAGAGAGAGGCAGCCUAUAACCGCAUGGUGGACUGCUCCAAGCCCACGUACUUUGCGACCACGGUGACCUGGGUCAGGAAAAAAAUUGCAAACUUACGCACAGUGUAUGUGAAAGAAAACAAGAAAGUGGAGGAAUCCAGCAAUUCCCCAGCUCUGGUACUACUAGGACCUGACCUUCCUCCUGGAGAAAAGGAUGGCGAAAGCAUCCCUGGUUGUGAUGGCCGAGUCCGAGGGGUAAAGUCUGGAUGUGGAGUAGGCCGAAGUGACACAAGAAGACUUAAGCCAUACCCCCGAUAUCCCAGAUUCAUCUUUGGAGGAAACGUCUCCGCAGCACCUUGGUGGCAGGAAGUAUCCACGAAAAACCACAUUUGCAGAAGACCCUUUACUAAUGCAGGCCCAUUUACUGCUGCUCCAUAAACGAGACAAAAUUGACGAUUUUGCCUCAUAUCUGAGCAAAACCAUGCAAAAGCUUUCCGAUGAGCAGCAACACGAGUGCCAGCGCCUGGUGUCACAGGUUUUGUAUAACGCACUCAAAGGACAACUGACACCAGAGUGCAACGUUACGGAACCAGAACCUGAGGCACGUGCUCCACAUCAUCCUUUUCCCUUCAGUCCACCACCCACCGACCCUUCCUCCAGUAGCCAUCCUCCUCUGCAUCCCAGCUACCCAUACUGUUAUACUCCACUGCAGGGACCACCCACCAAUUUCCAUCCUCCUCCUCAAACCCCUCCUUCUCAAACCAGCUACCCUUCCCAUUAUCGUCAACCCCUGCUCCCAUCCACCCACCCUUCCUCCACUAUCCAAUCCCCUCCUCAACCCAGCCAGCCACACAUCCACCAUCCCCUCCGCAAUUCUGUCCUCUUUGAUGGCAGAGGGGGAUCAGGAGGAGGUGGAGGAGACAAGUCUCUUUGAAAUGUAGGGUGAUCCUCAUUUACUGCUGCCCUUAUUAUACAUACCAGCAGAUGUGGUGCAUUCUGAUACUACGGUGAGUGUCACCACUUUCAGGCGGACAAUGCACACAUGCUGCUAGGGACAGUUUGAUGGUACCAGGGACCCAUCUUCCUGCCCCUAGCUGCAUGUGUGCAUUGCGCCCCUGGCACCGGUGACACUCACCGUAGUAUCAGAAUGCACCACUCUGUUGGUAUAUAUUAAAUUCCUGCUGCCCUUGGUAUACACUGCUUAAAAAAAAAGGGAACACUUAAACAACACAUUCGAGAUCUGAAUGAAUGAAAUAUUCUUAUUAAAUACUUUGUUCUUUACAUAGUUCAAUGUGCUCACAACAAAAUCACACAAAAAUUAUCGAUGGAAGUCAAAUUUAUUAACCCAUGGAGGUCUGGAUUUGGAGUCACACUCAAAAUUAAAGUGGAAAAACACACUACAGGCUGAUCCAACUUUGAUGUGAUGUCCUUAAAACAAGUCAAAAUGAGGCUCAGUAGUGUGUGUGGCCUCCACGUGCCUGUAUGACCUCCGUACAACGCCUGGGCAUGCUCCUGAUGAGGUGGCGGAUGGUCUCCUGAGGGAUCUCCUCCCAGACCUGGACUAACGCAUCCGCCAACUCCUGGACAGUCUGUGGUGCAACGUGGCGUUGGUGGAUGGAGCGAGACAUGAUGUCCCAGAUGUGCUCAAUUGGAUUCAGGUCUGGGGAACGGGCGGGCCAGUCCAUAGCAUCAAUGCCUUCGUCUUGCAGGAACUGCUGACACACUCCAGCCACAAGAGGUCUAGCAUUGUCUUGCAUUAGGAGGAACCCAGGGCCAACCGCACCAGCAUAUGAGGAUCUCAUCUCGGUACCUAAUGGCAGUCAGGCUACCUCUGGCGAGCACAUGGAGGGCUGUGUGGUCCCCCAAAGAAAUGCCACCCCACACCAUUACUGACCUACUGCCAAACCGGUCAUGCUGGAGGAUGUUGCAGGCAGCAGAACGUUCUCCUUGGCGUCUCCAGACUCUGUCACGUCUGUCACAUGUGCUCAGUGAGAACCUGCUUUCAUCUGUGAAGAGCAAAGGUCGCCAGUGGCGAAUUUACCAAUCUUGGUUGUUCUCUGGCAAAUGCCAAAUGUCCUGCACGGUGUUGGGCUGUAAGCACAACCCCCACCUGUGGAUGUCGGGCCCUCAUACCACCCUCAUGGAGUCUGUUUCUGAUCGUUUGAGUAGACACAUGCACAUUUGUGGCUUGAUGGAGGUCAUUUUGCAGGGCUCUGGCAGUGCUCCUCCUGUUCCUCCUUGCACAAAGGCGGAGGUAGCGGUCCUGCUGCUUGGUUGUUGCCCUCCUACGGCCUCCUCCACGUCUCCUGAUGUACUGACCUGUCUCCUGGUAGCGCCUCCAUGCUCUGGACACUACGCUGACAGACACAGCAAACCUUAUUGCCACAGCUCGCAUUGAUGUGCCAUCCUGGAUGAGCUGCACUACCUGAGCCACUUGUGUGGGUUGUAGACUCCGUCUCAUGCUACCACUAGAGUGAAAGCACCGCCAGCUUUCAAAAGUGACCAAAACAUCAGCCAGAAAGCAUAGGAGCUGAGAAGUGGUCUGUGGUCACCACCUGCAGAACAACCACUUUAUUUGGGGGUGUCUUGCUAAUUGCCUAUAAUUUCCACCUGUUGUCUAUUCCAUUUGCACAACAUCAUGUGAAAUUGAUUGUCAGUCAGUGUUGCUUCCUAAGUGGACAGUUUGAUUUCACAGAAGUGUGAUUGACUUGGAGUUACAUUGUGUUGUUUAAGCUUUCCCUUUAUUUUUUUGAGCAGUGUAUAUUGUGAUAGAUCUGGUGCACUAUGAUAUAUGGCGUUUUAGUGGCUCCGCUUUUAGGUGGACAAUGCACACAUGCAGCUUGGGUCAGGUUGAUGGUGCUGGGGAGCCUGAAGCCGGGCCUACCUGCAUGUGUGCAUUGUGCCCCUGAAACCACUGCGACUCAAAAAACACAGUAUAUCAUACUGCACCAGAUUUAUAUGCAAAAUAAAAAUUUGAAGAUACAUUACUAAAG